rnacentral:rRNA from 1 species
AUGGCUGCUGUGCUCCGAUCCGCGGCGAGGCGGUUGGCCGGCGAGCUGCCGGCGGCUGAGAUGGGGCUCCACCGCCUCCCUCUGCACUCCCAGGCCAAUGUUUGGAGCGCCUCAUCUGCUCCUCGCUCUGCCCCCUCUUCUCUGACCAAGACCAAGGCGGUGAUCGAGAGCACCCUUCUACCACAACUCAUCCCGCGCCGCACAAUGUCCUCCUCCUCCGGUCGCGCCGCCUCUCAACCAGCCGACAAGUUUUGCUUUUACCUGAGGGGCGCGAGGAUGACAGCUAUGCAAGAACCAGGCUCAAAGGAACUUAGCAUGAUAAUUUUCGUGAGAAGUGAAGAAGAAUCGUUGAAUGAUUUCUGGUAUUUCAUGAGUGUGGUAAAGAAGAAUGAGGUUCAGCGUGCAAAGGAGAUGGAAUACAGACAUAUGCAGUCCAGAUACGAUAAGGAAUGGGAAAAGGUAGAAAAUCAGCCAUGGUUCCGGAAGUUGGAGAACCUCCAAGAUCACCUUUCAAACAAGGCUUGGGUUUUAAUUCCUGGUGGCUUACUGCUUGCCGGCCUGGGGGAGUCCUCAGACUGGAAGCUGCUAAGAGGCCCACACGCACCACCCCCUGGACCUGGAGAGGAGGCCCCUUUCGAGAAGAAUCCUGUAGAGGACAUGUUAUAA